rnacentral:rRNA from 1 species
UACGUAGGUGGCAAGCGAUACUCGGAAUCACUAGGCGUAAAGCGCAGGUAGGCGGUUUGGUAAGUCUUUUGUGAAAGCUCCCGGCUUAACUGGGAGAGGCCAAGGGAAACUACCGGACUAGAGUGUGGCAGAGGAAGCUGGAAUUCCCGGUGUAGCGGUGAAAUGCGUAGAUAUCGGGAAGAACACCCGUGGCGAAGGCGGCUCUCUGGGACGGUACUGACGCUGAGACGCGAAAGCGUGGGGAGCGAACAGG